CGCAGUUGAUAGAACCAAUGAGGUUAAGUGAAUGUGGAGAGCUUCCAUUUCGGGCUGGGGAAAUUCUCCCGAGAGUUACCAUUCCAAAUAGAAGCCAGAGAAGAAUACCUACUGCUUGUCUUGGACCUUGCGGACCAAUGUAGGUGAGAGAAGAGGACCAAAUGGAGACCAAGGGGUUGUCCAGAAAUGGCAAGAACCCCCACCCACUACCAGGUGGAGGAAAAGAUGAGAAUACACAUUGCUCAAGGUAUCUAAUUUCGUGUCUUUUUUGUUUUGUUUUUUUGGGAAAGUCUAUAUCUACUUGGAUUGAAAAAGGAAGAAGCUUAUGUGUAUUUUCAUAGUGUGGAAACAUUUAGAAACUAGCGUCCUAUCAUUUGAUUGAUUGAGGUUAUGUUCCAGUUGAAUUUUACAGUUAUGAGAUCACUUUGUUAUUUCUAUCAGUUCUUGGAAGAUGUUCUAUAUUUACUUUAGAUUGAAAAUGGAAGAAGCUUAUGUAUUCAUAAUGUGGAAACAAUUAGAAACUAGUGUCCUGUCAUUUGAUUGAUCGUUAGAGAGGUUAGGUUCCAUUUGAAUUUUCACUAUGAGAUCACUUUGUUAUUUCUAUCAGUUCUUGGCAAUUGCUUAGAUUGAAAAUGGAAGAAGCUUAGGUGUAUCUUCAUAAUGUGGAAACACUUGUGAGAUCAUUUUGUUAUUUCUAUCAGUUCUUGGUAAUUAAUAUUCUAUAUUUUCUUAGAUUGAAAAAGGAAGAAGCUUAUGUGUAUAUUCCUAACGUGGAAAACAAUUAGGAACUAGCAUUCUGUCUAUUUGAAUGAUCAUUAGAGAGGUUAGGUUCCAUUUGACUCUUAUACUUGUGAGAUCACUUUGUUAUUCCUACCAAUCCUUGCAAUAUACAGAUUUUCCCUCUUGUUUCAAUGUUUUUUUUUUAAAUUUAAAUUGCUUGUUUGCAAUAAUGUGAUGAUGAUGUGCAUGUUUGUUUGUUUGUUUCUGUGCAAUUAUGUGAUGAGCAAGAAGUUUGUGAGUUUGCUGGCGAGAUUGGAGAUGGUCAGGAGGAGCUUGGGAGUGAGACCUGAUGGAUAUGAUGAUGACAGACAGCUGUUUGAUGUGGAAGAAGAGCACCAUGUCAUAGAAGAGCAAAGGUUACGCUUUUGUGUGCUGUUAAAGAAUUGUACAACACCAAUGGAUCUUUGGUAGCUACUUGUGAUAGAGACAUGAAGCGUAGGAUUUGAAAUCUUUGGAUAUCAUCUUGGUUCCUGGUGUGCCUAUCAUGUAUUUGGGCGGGUCGCUAGUACUCGAGUUGAGAGGCUCCCUGAAGCAACACUUGGUAGAGCUCCAAAGAUAUUAAUAUGUGAUCCGAUUCCGAGAAGCUCUGAAGCCUGAGUUAGUCUUCGAACAAGAAGAUACUACCUGCCUGUAAGUCUCCAAUGAAACCAGCUCCAUGUUGGCAACACCACACAAACUCGAAAAGUCCAAAAACAUUAAGGUUGAGGGCAAGCUUUGGUGGAGGAUCCAACAGCAAAGUGUUAGCCCAAAAAUGCAGUCCAAAAGGCUCGGGUUCGAGAGCCAAGCAAGAUCCAAAGGCAGCUCGGUAGACAGCAAACAGAGUCAAGUCUCACCGAGAAGAAAACAAACAAGGGAUAAUAAAACUACGCACUGGUCUUCAGCAACCUGAUGACCGAGUAAGCUAUCGAGAGCAGUGACUUGAGAAGUUUAACAUCUGAUAGCAACAUAAAGCUUGGGAUCGAACGUUGACAUCGAGGCUACAAGCAAACAAAAAGAAUCCAGACUUUGGAAACAGACAAGAAGACAGAUCAUAUCUUAAACUUUUGAAAGUUAUCUUAGACUCUCGCAGUUAUGACCUUUUGCGCACGUGGUAGUAGUAGUGAAACUUACAUUUCUACCUAUCUUUCCUUUCACCUAGCAGUUACAAAUGUAUGAUUAUAUGGUCCAACUAUCUACUCCUCUGUUUCAA